CCCUUAGAUGUUCUGGGCUGCACCCGUGCUACACUGGCAGGUUCAGCGAGCUUCAUGCCCUGAUCUGAAAGGAAUGGGAAAUCUUUUCAAAACCUGCCGUGCUUGGGAUAGAUGUUUGCAAUUAUUCAUCUUCAACGAGGAUUGCCUUGUAGGCGCACGUCAUCAGCGUGCAUUGAAUACGACCCUGUAUUCUGUACACACCGCCCGUCGCUCCUACCGAUUGAAGUUUUCGGUGAGUUGACAGGAGGAUUUUUUUGAAACUGGUUCGCCAGUGGAUUUUAGAUCCAAAUGCCAACGAAUCGAUGGCUUUAGAGGAAGGAGAAGUCGUAACA
rnacentral:rRNA from 1 species